rnacentral:rRNA from 1 species
AGUGAACGCUGGCGGCAGGCCUAACACAUGCAAGUCGAGCGGCAGCGGGUUCCCGCGAGGGGAUGCCGGCGAGCGGCGGACGGGUGAGGAACACAUCGGAAUCUGCCUGGUUGUGGGGAUAACGUAGGGAACUUACGCUAAUACCGCAUGAGACCCUGAGUCGACGGACGUGGGGUGAAAGUGAGGGACCUUCGGCCGUCACGCGACCAGAUGAGCCGAUGUCGGAUUAGCUAGUUGGCGGGGUAACGGCCCGCCAAGGCGACGAUCCGUAGCUGGUCUGAGAGGAUGAUCAGCCACACUGGGACUGAGACACGGCCCCGACUCCU